rnacentral:rRNA from 1 species
AGGACGAACGCUGGCGGCGUGCUUAACACAUGCAAGUCGAGCGAGGCCCUCUCUUCGGAGAGGUGCCCUAGCGGCGAACGGGUGAGUAACACGUGGGCAACCUGCCCCUAGCUCUGGGAUAAGCCCGGGAAACCGGUCUAAUACCGGAUACGACCUCCGAGGGCAUCCUUGGAGGUGGAAAGGAUUCUGGCUAGGGAUGGGCCCGCGGCCUAUCAGCUUGUUGGUGGGUAACGCCUACCAAGGCGACGACGGGUA